CCAUUCACCACAUACAUCUGGAGUUGCACCAGAAGGACAUCCAGUGUAAAACUUGUGUCAUUUCAACAUGUGGAUACAUACUGGAUCUGCUGUGCAGACCCACAGCA